CCUACGGGAGGCAGCAGCUAAGAAUAUUCCGCAAUGGAGGAAACUCUGACGGAGCGACGCCGCGUGGAUGAGGAAGGCCGGAAGGUUGUAAAAUCCUUUUAAGUAUGAGGAAUAAGUUAUGUAGGAAAUGACAUAAUGGUGACUGUAGUACUUGAAUAAGCAACGGCUAAUUACGUGCCAGCAGCCGCGGUAAU
rnacentral:rRNA from 1 species